ensembl:lncRNA
UCAUAGAAAACGACACCAAAUAUGUGGCAGAGAUUUAUGUUGGGAGCCCAAUUUUGGUUUUGGUGAACAAUUGGGAAGAACGAGACAGCAGGACUCUAGGGAAGUUUUGGGAACACUUCUGGAGAUCUAUAAGCAGAGUAUGGGUGCAUGGGCAUGCUUGUGGCUUUGCAAGUUUGGGGCACAGAACAACUCACCACAGCAGAGGCUUCCUUCUCCAAAAUUGGACAGCUGUUUUGAGGCAGUGGUGGUCUCAGCACAUUGUCUUAUUCCAGGGGUGCUUGCAAACUUCCUGGUGGGAUUGGACUAAUUUUGGGGGGGAUCUACUGGAGGAGAAGAGAGAGGUGAGGGCUCCCGGGAUGAGUUUCCUCUUCUGGCCUUUGAUUUGUUGGCUUUUUCUCCUCCCGGUGUCCAGAAGCCACCCUCAGGAGAAUUUUUAUAUAUCACAGAAUUCGUCAAGCUUCUUCAAGGAAGGGAAGGAGGGCUGUAAAAUGAGAAAAUCUUACUUAGAACAAUAGGUUUAGACUUGGAGCCACUCCAAGACCUCCUGUCUGAGCCGAAUGGCAAGAUGGUGUUUCUGAUGAGGCUAGGGAAAACUCCUGAAACAAAGACUGGUAUGUUGUCUUUUUCUGCUAGCUUGAUGUCCUCUCAUAGUCCAGGCAACCAAAGAGGGUUUUUUGGCGGACCAAGCAUUACAGGCUGUGCCCCUUACAUUAUAUGCAGAUUUAGUGGUAGGAGUGGAUUGUGAGGUGGGGAGGACAUUUGCAUGUGGGUGGUGAUUGACUGGCUCAUUCCAUCUGCAUUUUCAUUUCAUCUCCUCCAAAUACUGUAUUCACGGGUUCUGCAUCUUUUUUAUGUAGUUCUUUGUUUGCUUUAUGAAGCUUUGGAAAAUGAAUGGUUAUUAAUGAAGAAUUCAGUUUAUUCUUAGCAAAUAUAUAAGAGUUUGUAUACUGUAUUUCAGAAAUUUGGAUGUCACUUUUCAGUGCACUCCCAUGAGGAUUUGAUCAAUAAGCAGUGCAAUGAAACUGAUACAAUACUCGGAUAAUAAACCAUUCCCUGAAAUUGUUUCCUCCAUUUUUGAUUUGCUUUUCUGAGUCACUUGAUUCUCUAGAGUAAGUUCCAUUGAACUCAUAGAGAUGCAUUUGUGAUCAAAUUGCUUAAAAAUCUAUGGAACAUCUUGUAGACCUUUGGGUCUGUUUUCAAAGAACAAUCUUCACAUUAUUGGAAAACAUUUUAUUGAUGCCCCCAUUUGGUAUAAACAAGCAAAUGGAAACAUCUGAGCUAAAAUUCCCUUGGACAAUUAAGGAUGCCUAACCGACGUUGUUCCACAGCCACAGAGUAACUCCUAGCCCAACCUCCCUCAAUUCCAGUAUACUAGGAAGUCCAUUGGAGUUUGUUCCCCUAUCUAUUGGGAAAAGCUAUAUUAUAAUCUCACUCCAUCCCAUGAGCAAUUCUUAAUAUAACAGGCAGAAGCAGGGUCCCUGUUGCAAUUCCCUCUUGCAUUAGCAAUUGGGAACAUCAAUCAGCUGCUUCUUGAUUGAUGGAGAAACAGACUCCCAUUGAUUGCAGUGGCUGCUGUCCAGGAAUCUGGCAUUGGGGAACUUUCGUGGUAACUAUGUAGUUUACACAUUCAUGACUAACAGUAUAUUCUCAUCCUCAUUUCCAAGAUGAGUGGAGUGCCUUCCACACAUCAGUGACCUAAGAUAACAGUUAAAAUGUGCUGGUAAGCCUUUUUAUGAACAAACUCCAGCAGUCACGGAGAGACAAUAGUUCGUGCCAAAGGUAUUGCCAUGUAAGUGCUCCCCGGCUACAAGCUCGGUGGUGGUGGCGCGCUCUCCCAAGGCGCUCAUAUAUGAGUUGCUGCUUAUUGUUCGCUGGUUCUUAGCAACCUUAAUGAGGCCUCUGUAAUUCUUGUCAGCAGUCCAACAGUGUAUCCACCAAAGAACCAAUCUGUGUUUCCUUACACGUAAAACAGCACAGAGAAAUAGCAGUAAUAAUUAACUCCUCUUUACCAGUUUGCAGUAAUAAAUAGCUUUUGCUGCUAUAACACAGAUACAUCCAUCUCCAUUUAAUAGAUGAGACAGAUAUAAUAUGAGCAAGGAAUUCAUUUUUCUCUUCCUCUCCAUCCCUCACUCACUGUUUGUGAAAGAUGUCAAUAAUGGGUAUUUAUGAAUACAGUAUAUGCAUUUAUUUAAGACAAGCAACGUGUAUGGAGUUAUACAGAGUCCAUCAAGACAGGUCACUGCCCUCACAGAAAUCUAAAAUUUAAAACAACAGAAAUCAAGAAGGCAUGGCAGAUGAGUAAUAUCAGGUGUAAACAAGAGGGA